rnacentral:lncRNA from 1 species
AUGGCAGAGCAAGAGCAAAGAUAAAUCCCUUUGGUUCCAGAAAAUCUCCUGAAAAUGAGGACAGCUUAUCAAGCCCUCAAAGCCACCCAGGCAAAGCAGGCACUUUUGGCAAAGAAGGAGCAGAGAAAAAGAAAAGGGCUCAGGUUUAAACAACUGGAAUCAUUCCUACAAGAUUCCUGGUGACAGAAACGUGACAAGGUACGUCUCAGACGACUAGAAGUGAAACCACACCUUGGAAUUGCCAGAUAAACAUUCCUUGGCCUUUGUUGUACGCAUCGAAAGGAUUGAUGGCGUGAGUUUACUGGUGCAGAGAACCAUUGCGAGACUUUGCCCAAAGAAAAUUUUUAGUGGUGUCUUUGUAAAAGUCACCCCCCAGAACCUAAAAAUGCUGCGUAUAGUGGAAACUUAUGUGACCUAGGGAUUUCCAAAUCUGAAGUCUGUCUGGGAACUCAUUUUGAAACGUGGACAAGUCAAGGUCACGAAUAAGACCAUCCCUCUGACAGACAACACAGUGAUUGAGGAGCACCUGGAGAAGCAUUUCCAGGAGAUCUCGUGGUUCUUGUGCCCUUUCCACCUCUCAGUGGCCCGUCAUGCUACCAAAAAUAGAGUGGGCUUCCUCAAGGAGAUGGGCAUACCUGGCUAUCAGGGUGAAUGCAUCAAUCAGCUCAUCUGCCAGCUGAAC